AAAAUAACGAAAACGCGUGGACUAAUGCAUCCAGUUGCCGUUUCGACCCCUUAAACUGAUAAAAUGGCUACCAGAUGCGUCACUGGAGGAAUGACAUCAUCAGUUUGGAGCGUCGCAUCCCAGCACAUGGAGGGGCACUUCAUUUUGCCCAUAUGGGGGAAAUGUUUUGGGACUUCAGAAGAGAGAAUGGGUGGGCAGUCCAUCUGCAAGCAUGAUAGAGGGUGAUGUGGAAUGUUUCUCUGAGUACAUGGAACUUUGGAUUCAUAGAAUGAGAAUUGAGGGACUAAGGCUCUGGCUGUCUGGAAUAUUACGGAUUUAAGGUGAGAUAUAUGGGCACUGAAUAUCUGACCUUAACGCAAGAGAAGAAAGAAACCGA